ensembl:lincRNA
CCUCCUCUUCUGUGGGAUUCCCUGAGCUCUGAGAGGAGGGGUUUGACUGAGGUCUCCAGUUUAGACUUUCUCUCUGUGCAAUGUCUGUCUGUGGGGCUCUGUGUUUGCUCCUAUCUGCUGCUGGAGGAAGCCUGUCUGGUUAUGGAAACAGGAUCAAUGUUUCCAGGCUUCCAAAGUUGACUGAGGUCCAGCGACUCUCCAGGAAUACUCCAGGUCUUUGGACAGAUUGGAAGAGCUGAGCUACCCACCCUGCCUCAAGGACAGAGCAGAGACUUGCCAUUACUAUUUUGACUUAAGCUAAUUUAAUAAGUUUUUUGUGUCUUGUUCUCCUAGUGAACUUUGAUUAAGGC